rnacentral:lncRNA from 1 species
UAUUAAAAUAAUCAAAAAUAUAUCUUAAAUAAAUCUCAAAUAAGUUCUAAAUGAAUCCUAAUUAAAAUCCUAAUAGAUUUUAAUCAAAUCCUAGAAAAAUCUUAAAUCCUAAACCAAAUUCUAGAUCAUAUCUUAGAUUCUAAAGUAAACCUUAAAUCAAACCUUAAACAAAUCUUAAAUCCUAAAACAAAUCCUAAAUUAAAUCCUAGAUAAAUCCUUAAUCUUAAAUCAAAUUCUAAAUCCUAAACCAAAUCCUAAAUAAAAUCCUAGAUCCUAAAUCAAAC